GUGUGGCUCAGUGGGAGGGCAUUUGCCUAGCAUGCAUGAGCCCUGGGUUCCAUCCCCAGCAC
rnacentral:tRNA from 1 species